rnacentral:rRNA from 1 species
UAAGCAAUCUGCCCUUCUCAUCGGAAUAACCACUGGAAACGGUGGCUAAUGCCGAAUAUGACCUCGGAACACAUGUUCUGAGGUGGAAAGCUCCGGCGGAGAAGGAUGAGCUUGCGGCCUAUCAGCUUGUUGGUGAGGUAAUGGCUCACCAAGGCGACGACGGGUAGCCGGCCUGAGAGGGUGACCGGCCACACUGGGACUGAGACACGGCCCAGACUCCGUAGGGAGG